rnacentral:lncRNA from 1 species
CUCAUGCAGUGGAGGCAGCCCCAAGGGUUUCAUAGCAUUGUUAUUUGGUAGCCAAAUUGCCCCAGCAGUUUCUGGUUGCUCUGAAUAUAUAUAUUCCAUAUAUAUAUAUUCCAUAUAUAUAUUCAAUAUAUUUUGAUUAUUCUGGUUACUUACCAUAAGAUUUUUUUUUUUUAUUUCUCAGGUUGAGCUCCCCUGUUCUGUAUGGACUCCACUAACAAAGCCACACAAAAGCUCUUGCACUUAUUGCACCGUCUGUCUUCAUUUCACUGCUCUGUACUACUCUGAUGGGAUGCAUAGAGCUCUGCUAAACUGUGCUAAAGAUCCAUCUGUGGAAGUUUAUCUGCUAUUUUGCUUGUUAAGCAUCCAAGAGGGAGGUAACAGAAAUUUUAAAGGUACUGUAUUCUGAUUUGGGUUUUUUUUAGUAGGAGCAGGUUUUAUGGGUAUUUUCAAGUUACAAAUUAAUAUAAUGCGAAGUGUUAUUAUUGGACUUUGAACAGAAAUAUUUUGCUUUGUUUUUGCAUCCUCAUGUGUGUAAGCUAUGAUCGAGGAAAUAUUUACAUCUAGGAUUUAUCUUGGAUGUGUGAAUAGUCCCUCACUGCUCUCAGUACUGUUCACAAUAUCAUGGUCUAAGUUUGUUUCAGAACACUGCUAAGCAUUUUUGGUUUUCUAUUGUUUGGUUUUCAAACAGUUUUCUUAAAAAAAAAUAGAGGCAGAGGAUAUAUAAAAAUAAUUCAGAGCUUCAUGAAUUAUACAGGGCAACAUUAUAGUUGGUAAGGCAAAAUUUUCAGAUACUAAGAUAAAAAUUUGGAUGGGAUAUUAAAAAAUUAGUCUCUGAUUCAGUAAACCAUAUGGAUCAGAAUUAUUGCUUACAGACUUGGUAUAAAAAGCUCAUGCUUGAGUGGAUCAGACAAAUACUGCCCUAGAACAAGAUUCCCUCCCUUCCAGCUUUCUGUAAGUUGAGAUUUCUCUGACGUAAGCAGAAUUAAGACUGUUUAAAGGGCAUUUUAAAACAUCUCAGGCUUGAUAAAGUGAUACUAGUGAGUGGGUGAAAAAACCCACUGUAUUUCCUAUACAAACAUGGUUAUUAAAACUUCUCUGUGUAAGGCAGAUGAUUCAAAUUCUUUAAUGAUGAAA